ACUCAAAGGAAUUGACGGGGGCCCGCACAAGCGGUGGAUCAUGUGGUUUAAUUCGAAGCAACGCGAAGAACCUUACCUGGGUUUGACAUCCCCGGACCGCUGUAGAGAUACAGCUUCGGUAGCAAUACCGCCGGGUGACAGGUGCUGCAUGGCUGUCGUCAGCUCGUGUGGUGACAUGUUGGGUUAAGUCCCGCAACGAGCGCAACCCUUGUCCUUAGUUGCCAGCAUUCAGUUGGGCUCUCUAGGGAGACUGCCGUGGUUAACACGGAGGAAGGUGGGGAUGACGUCAAGUCCUCAUGGCCUUUAUAUCCAGGGCGACACACGUGAUACAAUGGACGGUACAGAGGGAAGCGAAACCGCGAGGUGGAGCCAAUCUCAAAAAGCCGUUCUCAGUUCGGAUUGGAGUCUGCAACUCGACUCCAUGAAGUUGGAAUCGCUAGUAAUCGCGGAUCAGCACGCCGCGGUGAAUACGUUCCCGGGCCUUGUACACACCGCCCGU
rnacentral:rRNA from 1 species